rnacentral:rRNA from 1 species
GACGAACGCUGGCGGCGUGCUUAACACAUGCAAGUCGAACGGAAAUGCCCUGCUUUUGUGGGGUGCUCAAGUGGCGAACGGGUGCGUAACACGUUAGUAACCUGCCCUUGACUUUGGGAUAACUUCCGGAAACUGGGGCUAAUACCGGAUAGGAGCUCCUGCUGCAUGGUGGGGGUUGGAAAGUUUCGGCGGUUGGGGAUGGACUCGCGGCUUAUCAGCUUGUUGGUGGGGUAGUGGCUUACCAAGGCUUUGACGGGUAGCCGGCCUGAGAGGGUGACCGGCCACAUUGGGACUGAGAUACGGCCCAGACUCCUACGGGAGGCAGCAGUGGGGAAUAUUGCACAAUGGGCGGAAGCCUGAUGCAGCAACGCCGCGUGCGGGAUGAAGGCCUUAGGGUUGUAAACCGCUUUCGCCUGUGACGAAGCGUGAGUGACGGUAAUGGGUAAAGAAGCACCGGCUAACUACGUG